rnacentral:rRNA from 1 species
AGAGUUUGAUCAUGGCUCAGAUUGAACGCUGGCGGCAUGCCUUACACAUGCAAGUCGAACGGUAACAGGUCUUCGGAUGCUGACGAGUGGCGAACGGGUGAGUAAUACAUCGGAACGUGCCCGAUCGUGGGGGAUAACGCAGCGAAAGCUGUGCUAAUACCGCAUACGAUCUACGGAUGAAAGCGGGGGAUCGCAAGACCUCGCGCGGACGGAGCGGCCGAUGGCAGAUUAGGUAGUUGGUGGGAUAAAAGCUUACCAAGCCGACGAUCUGUAGCUGGUCUGAGAGGACGACCAGCCACACUGGGACUGAGACACGGCCCAGACUCCUACGGGAGGCAGCAGUGGGGAAUUUUGGACAAUGGGCGAAAGCCUGAUCCAGCCAUGCCGCGUGCAGGAUGAAGGCCUUCGGGUUGUAAACUGCUUUUGUACGGAACGAAAAAGUCUUCUCUAAUACAGGGGGCGAAUGACGGUACCGUAAGAAUAAGCACCGGCUAACUACGUGCCAGCAGCCGCGGUAAUACGUAGGGUGCGAGCGUUAAUCGGAAUUACUGGGCGUAAAGCGUGCGCAGGCGGUUAUAUAAGACAGAUGUGAAAUCCCCGGGCUCAACCUGGGAACUGCAUUAGUGACUGUAUAGCUAGAGUGCGGCAGAGGGGGAUGGAAUUCCGCGUGUAGCAGUGAAAUGCGUAGAUAUGCGGAGGAACACCGAUGGCGAAGGCAAUCCCCUGGGCCUGCACUGACGCUCAUGCACGAAAGCGUGGGGAGCAAACAGGAUUAGAUAC